rnacentral:lncRNA from 1 species
AUCUACACGGGAGCUGGUCACUGGGGCUAACUUUGUGGAUCACCAAAAGAUAUGAAUAUCUAGAUACAUAUACCUGCUUCUCGCCAGCGACUGAAGAGUGGUCAUGCAGCUAUUCUGUGCUUUCAGAUUCUGUGAAGUGCAAGGUGAUGUGCACCUGAGAACACAACUAUGGAAAUGUGUACAGGUCCAAGGAGUCUGACUGCUUCCACUGGGCAUUGUUGCAUACAUUCGAAGAAGGGAAGAUUAAGAAUCUGGCUAGUUGGUUACUCUACCUCUUCUCUAUCAAAGCGAUAGAUACCACAGGGAGUGUGGAAAUGUCAGUGUUCCAGUGAUUAAGAACUGCCAGCUGGAAAUGACAGAAGUGUCCUCAUAUAAAUGCAUAAGUAUAAAUUAAAUGAGCUUUAUGGUCAAAGUUCAUCUGUGGUCUAGAGGACAGGAGUUAUAAACAUUCCAUGGAGAGUAGCAUGUAUACUAUACUUUUCAUUUAUGAGAGGGAACAGUUUGCUGCCAUAGUGAAGAAAAGAUGUAGUUUCUUUUCUUGAUUAUCUGGGGUCACACAGUAGUUUUCAUGUUUUCAUUUGAAGUCUGAAGAGCAUAAAUAUAUUGAUGGAUGCUGUACUAAGAUUAAUAUUGUAACAAAGACUACUUUCGCAAUCUAAAAAAUAAUAGAGUUGGGUUGUAUUGAUCUGUAAUGUUUUGCUCUUAAAACUGC